rfam:Medicago truncatula strain A17 chromosome 5, whole genome shotgun sequence.
CCCUUAACUAUUAAAAGUUUCGUUUUGGUCCCUUAACUUAUUUUUUGGUUUCGUUUUGGUCCCUUAACUUAUUUUUUUUGUUUCAUUUUGGUCCCUUAACUCUAAUACAUUCAUCCUAACAUAAAGGACCAAAGAGGCUGACGAAGGAAGAGUUAAGGGACCAAAAUGAAACCAAAAAGUAAGUUAAAGGACCAAAAAGAAACUUUUAAUAGUUAAGGGACCAAAAUGAAACCAAAAAGUAAGUUAAGGGACCAAAACAAAACUUUUAAUAGUUAAGGGA